GCGGGCGUCGUAUAAUGGCUUAAUAUACCUGCCUUCCAAGCAAGUGAUGAGAGUUCGAUUCUCUCCGCCCGCACCA
rnacentral:tRNA from 1 species